UGGUGGAGUGAUUCGUCUGGUUAAUUCCGUUAAUGAACGAGACCUCGACUUGCUAAAUAGUUGUUGGUACCUGUAUUGGGUACGCAUGCGACUUCUUAGAGGGACUGUCGGUUUAUAGCCGAAGGAAGUUCGAGGCAAUAACA
rnacentral:rRNA from 1 species